rnacentral:rRNA from 1 species
GACGAACGCUGGCGGCGUGCUUAACACAUGCAAGUCGAACGAAGUGGCGAACGGGUGAGUAAUACGUGGGUAACCUGCCCUCCUUUUUGGGAUAAGCCUUGGAAACGGGGUCUAAUACCGAAUAAAGGGGGAUGGGCUGGCGGCCUAUCAGCUUGUUGGUGGGGUGAUGGCCUACCAAGGCGCGGACGGGUAGCCGGCCUGAGAGGGUGACCGGCAACAUGAGGACGGAGAGACGCCCCAGACUCCUACGGGAGGCGACAGUGGGGCAUAUUGCACAAGGGGGGAAAGCCUACUGCAGGUACGCCACGUGGGGGAUGAAGGCUUUCAGGUUGUAAACCUGUUACGCUCUCGAACGGGUAGGUGGAGAAGAAGCGCCGGCUAACUACGUGCCAGCAGCCGCGGUAAUAC